rnacentral:pre_miRNA from 1 species
UGGAAGAUUGCAGGGGAUGGAAUAUUGCAGUGGAUGGAAAAUUGCAGUGGAUAGAAGAUUGCAGUCCAUCCCCUGCAAUCUUCCAUCCACUGCAAUCUUCCAUUCCCUGCAAUCUUCCAU